rnacentral:ncRNA from 1 species
AGUCCGUAGGGGCCACAUGAAGUCACCCGGUUUUACCCGGUAAAGCGAAUGAUUAGAGGUCUUGGGGCCGAAACGAUCUCAACCUAUUCUCAAACUUUCAAUGGGUAAGGGGGCCGUCUCACUGGCGUGGAGCCGCACCGUGGAAUGCGAGUGCUCAGUGGGCCACUUUUGGUAAGCAGAACUGGCGCUACGGGAUGAACCG